AGAGUUUGAUUCUGGCUCAGGACGAACGCUGGCGGCGUGCCUAACACAUGCAAGUCGAGCGAGGUGUAUACACCUAGCGGCGGACGGGUGAGUAACACGUGGGUAACCUGCCUCAGAGAGGGGAAUAGCCUUCCGAAAGGAAGAUUAAUACCGCAUAAUAUACGCAUUUAGCAUUAUGAGCGUAUCAAAGGAGAAAUCCGCUUUGAGAUGGGCCCGCGGCGCAUUAGCUAGUUGGAGAGGUAACGGCUCACCAAGGCGACGAUGCGUAGCCGACCUGAGAGGGUGAUCGGCCACAUUGGAACUGAGACACGGUCCAGACUCCUACGGGAGGCAGCAGUGGGGAAUAUUGCACAAUGGGGGAAACCCUGAUGCAGCAACGCCGCGUGAAUGAUGAAGGCCUUCGGGUCGUAAAGUUCUUUGAUUGGGGACGAUAAUGACGGUACCCAAAAAACAAGCCACGGCUAACUACGUGCCAGCAGCCGCGGUAAUACGUAGGUGGCGAGCGUUGUCCGGAUUUACUGGGCGUAAAGGGUGCGUAGGUGGAAAUUCAAGUGGGAUGUGAAAUCCCCGGGCUCAACCCGGGAACUGCAUUCCAAACUGGGUUUCUUGAGUGCAGGAGAGGAAAGCGGAAUUCCUAGUGUAGCGGUGAAAUGCGUAGAUAUCAGGAAGAACACCAGUGGCGAAGGCGGCUUUCUGGACCGUAACUGACACUGAGGCAUGAAAGCGUGGGGAGCAAACAGGAUUAGAUACCCUGGUAGUC
rnacentral:rRNA from 1 species